CUUGUCUCAAAGGAAGAUUUUUCGAAGUUUUUUUGUUUCCUAAAUGGCUGCAAAUUCAACGACUGAAUCAGCUUGCUGUUCUGGCGUUAAAGCGAAGAAACCUGACUCGGAAAUCUGUAAAUAUAAGGUUUAUUAAAGUGGAAGAAGUGCUGCACUUCCUAAAAUCAGGAUGCCAGGAACCUACUCAUUUUGCCACUCUUGACAAAGUUGCAAGGAAAAAAUAUCCACACGCUGUCUCAAUUCUCGAGAAACUUUAAAUAUGAAGUGCUGUUGGGAGAAAUACAAGUGUGUGCAAAAUUUGCAAGAAAGAUGAUGGUGAAGACUGGCUUGGGUGCGACCGGUGCUAUCAAUUCUUUCACGCCAGUUGCAGAAGUGUGGACUUCGCAACAGCACUUUCAGGAAAAUUUUAUUUGCUAAUGUGCAGCUAGGUGAAGUGAUGCAAG
rnacentral:lncRNA from 1 species